CAUUAUAGUUCACAUUCAAAUAAAAAAAAAGAAAAUAAGUUAAAUAAAUAUUAUACAAUAAGCCUCCGAAAAUAUGUUGUAAGAUUUUAAAACAUACGGGAAUUAUAAGUGUUGUUUUAGUCUAUCGUGACAUUAACUUCCAACACAAAAUUACAUAAUGGAUAACAAUUCAUACGAGCAAAUAGCUCAGAACAAUGAGGUUUGUAUUGAGAUGGACUUGUUACGGGUUGGGUCAGAACCUGUCGGCAUGCGAUGUCCAUACUGCCAAGAAGAUGUUAUGACUAAAGCUGAUUAUAGGAGUACCACAAAGACUCAUGUCCUCGCUCUAGUCUUAGGUUUAUUAUUUUGGUGGUUGUGUUGCUGCAUACUACCAUAUGUUAUCAAACGAUGGAAGAACGUGGAACAUUAUUGUCCCAACUGUCGUCGGUUUUUAGGUGUUUACACAAGAAAUUCACUAUUGUAAAUUGUUUUUAAGUAUUUAAAAAUUAUCCCUAUUUAUAACUGUAUUCUUCUAUUAUUAUUAAUUAAUAAGUAAAAAUAAAUACUAUAAAUGAUAAUACAUUAUUUUUUAUUAAUCGAUUUUUUAUUGAAAUAAUUCAUUUGCUUAGUUAAAUUAUAAUUAAAAAAAAAUUAACAAUAUUUUUGUUAUUAUAAUAAUAGCACAAUGUUUGUCCAGUGAUAAUGUAUUCAAAACGUUAUUGUAUAAUGAAAGUCAGUAUUUGAGACAAGUUUCACAGACCCUUUCUGAAGGAUCUUUCAAAUUAAUAUCGCUGUCUUUGUUUAAUCUUAUCAAUAAUUGCGGCAAAGCUUUGAAACAUGCAUGUAAGGCAAGUGUUACCAUAAAAUCGAAUAAACUUUCGAUUUUCCGGGAAUAUCCGAGGUGCACAAAUUUAAAUUUCACUAUUUCGCAAUAAUUGGUAUAAUGCGGUUUAAAACAGUUAAUUAAAAAACUAUAUUAUAUUUUUAAUUUAAUUAAUGGAAAUUUCAUUUAGUUAAUAGUCGAGCUAUUCUGUACGAUCAAACUUGGAAA